rnacentral:tRNA from 1 species
GGGUCUGUAGCUAAGGGGAAAAGAGCGACGCCCUACGAAGGCGUGAGCGGUGGUUCGAAUCCACCCGGACCCA